rnacentral:rRNA from 1 species
CAAUAGCGUAUAUUAAAGUUGUUGCAGUUAAAAAGCUCGUAGUCGAACAUUGUUCAUUUGAUCAUGUUUUGUAGCUACGCUCCAAUGAUGGUCGAAUGAACUUUGCGCAGCUCUAUUUCUUUCGGGCAAUAGGGCUCUGCCACUUUGAAUAUAUCAAAGUGUUCAAAGCAAGUUCUCUUGAUUGCUCAAGCAUGGAAUACGGAAUCGGCGUUUGCCUUUUCUUAGGUUCUAAAGGCAUUUGCAAUGAUUGAGAGGAACGGAUGGGGGGAUACGCAUUUGACUGUUAGAGGUGAAAUUCUUGGAUCAGUCAAAGGCGAACUGAUGCGAAAGCGUUUCCCAAGAACGUUUUUAUUGA